rfam:Capsicum annuum cultivar Zunla-1 chromosome 12, whole genome shotgun sequence
UAUUGAUGGUGCGGGCAGUCCCUGAGUAGAGAUUUAAAACUCUCCCAAGCAUGAUAUACAUUUUAAUUUGGCUUCUACUUAAAGCUAAAAAUUUCACUUUUUAAUCU